rnacentral:rRNA from 1 species
UACGUAGGGUGCGAGCGUUGUCCGGAAUUACUGGGCGUAAAGAGCUCGUAGGUGGUUUGUCGCGUUGUCCGUGAAAACUCACAACUCAAUUGUGGGCGUGCGGGCGAUACGGGCAGACUGGAGUACUGCAGGGGAGACUGGAAUUCCUGGUGUAGCGGUGGAAUGCGCAGAUAUCAGGAUGAACACCGGUGGCGAAGGCGGGUCUCUGGGCAGUAACUGACGCUGAGGAGCGAAAGCGUGGGGAGCAAACAGG